rnacentral:rRNA from 1 species
GGGAGCACUGUAGGAACAGAGGGUUCGAUUAUGGUUCACUUGAACGCUAUGAUGUUUACAUACGCAAGUCGAACGGCAGCACGGACUUCGGUCUGGUAUGAGCAGCGAACGCGAGUAAUGCAUCGGGAAUGUGUUUGGUAGCGGGACACCACGCUAUGCUGUAGCAUACCGCACAAUAGCCCUUCGGGGAAAGCGGGGACCCCGGGCCUCGCACUAUUAGAGCGGGAAGUCGAUAUCGUGGAUUAGCUAGGUUGGUGGGUAACGGCUCACCAAGGCGACAUCCGUAGCUGGUUUGAGGACGACCAGCCACAGCCACUGGGACUGAGACACGGCCCAGACUCCUACGGGAGGCAGCAGUAGAAAUUUUGGACAAUGGGGAACCGAUCCAGCCAUCCCUAUGCAGCAGAUGCCGAAGGCCUCGGGGUUGGGAAGCACUUUUGGCAGGAAGAAACGGCACGGACAAUACCCCGUGCAACUGACGUACCUGCAGAAUAAGCACCGGCUAACUACAAAAAACGCCAGCAGCCGCGUAAUACGUAAAAAAAGACUGGAAUGCCAUUGGGCAGCGUGCGCAGGCGGUUCGGAAAGAAAGAUGUGAAAUCCCAGAGCUUAACUUUGGAACUGCAUUUAACUACCGAGCUAGAGUGUGUCAGAGGGAGGUGGAAUUCCGCGUAGCAGUGAAAUGUGUAGAUAUGCGGAGGAACACCGAUGGCGAAGGCAGCCUCCUGGGAUAACACUGACGCUCAUGCACGAAAGCGUGGGGAGCAAACAGAUUAGAUACCCUGGUAGUCCACGCCCUAAACGAUGUCAACUAGCUGUUGGGGCCUUUCGGGCUCGGUAGCGCAGCUCGCGUGAAGUUGACCGCCUGGGAGUACGGUCGCAAGAUUAAAACUCAAAGGAAUUGACGGGGACCCGCACAAGCGGUGGAUGAUGUGGAUUACCCGAUGCAACGCGAAAAACCUUACCUACCCUUGACAUGUCUGGAAUCCCGAAGAGAUUUGGGAGUGCUCGCAAGAGAAACCGGAACACAGGCAAGCGUAUGGCUGUCGUCAGCUCGUGUCGUGAGAUGUUGGGUUAAGUCCCGCAACGAGCGCAACCCUUGUCAUUAGUUGCUACGAAAGGGCACUCUAAUGAGACUGCCGGUGACAAACCGGAGGAAGGUGGGGAUGACGUCAAGUCCUCAUGGCCUCUUAUGGUAGGGCUUCACACGUCAUACAAUGGUCGGGACAGAGGGUCGCCAACCCGCGAGGGGAGCCAAUCCCAGAAACCCGAUCGUAGUCCGGACUGCAGUCUGCAACUCGACUGCGUGAAGUCGGAAUCGCUAGUAAUCGCGGAUCAGCAUGUCGCGGUGAAUACGUUCCCGGGUCUUGUACACACCGCCCGUCACACCAUGGGAGUGGGUUUUACCAGAAUAGUUAGCCUAACCAAGGAGGGCGAUUACCACGGUAGGAUUCAUGACUGGGGUGAAGUCGUAACAAGGUAG